UGAUUUCCCAUGGAGAGUGAGAAUGGUGGGUAAGAAGUAGCAAGGAGGCAAAACCCAAGCUGAGGUGAUUCAGUAUUUUCAUGCUGAUGCAUGCGGAUCAUUCCUUUUCCUUCUGAACCACAAGGAACUGAACAUGAAAAUAUCAGGCCAAUUAGGGUUCUAGGGAUAACUAGGGACAACUGGCUGAAUGUUGCCAGCUUUUCCUUGGCUCAAAAUGCUAUUAUUACAAUUGUAUUAUCAGCUAAAUUAUGUCACUGUCAAAGAUUUCCCAUUAGGCCGGGAUUUAGCAGGGAUUGGCACCCUAUAUUAUUUCAGAAUCCUAGUGGUUAAUAUUGCAUGGGACAGAUGAAUAUCAAGAAUGGAGGAAGGACCCUUUGUGAUUCUACUACCUACUAACCUUGUUCAUGCUGGGCUAAAAUAAGGACUGUAUUUACUCUUCUUAUUUACAUUAUUCGCAUAUGCCUUAAUUUCCCUGUGAUUUGUAGUUAAAAUAAUGGUGAAUGCUACGAGCUUGUUUUUGUGCAAAAACUACAGUUCUUCAAUGAGAAAAGAUGGAUGAUUUAAUGUUGUUAUAAUGUUGUAUAAUAUUGUUGUCCAGUUUACACUGAUGUCCUUUUAGAUUCAUAAAAAUGACCUCUAGCUCCCCGAAUCACCAUGAAGUGCUGGAGCAUUGGUGGCCAGACUAACAGAUUUUAUGAACACACAAGAAACUGCAGAUGCUGGUUUGCACAAAAAGUCUGUGCUACAUCCAGUAGCGUUGUUACAAAACCUACCAUCAGCGACGCUCCAGAUCUGCCACUGCCUGUGCGUGCAAUUUGCUGGACCAUUGCAUUGCUAGAUUGAAGUUAAACGCGACUUCUAACGCCUUCAACGCGUUCAACAUCACGGAUCGCAAUAUCAGGACAAAACAAAAGAUGUCUCCGAAGAAGAGGUGCAAAAUUGUCAAUCCAAAUGCCCAGCAAAAGAGACUGAUUUUGACAACAUUCGCAGAGAUUAUCCAAAUUUGGACUGCUCCAAAUGUGAUGAUCUACAUGACAUUCUUAGUGGGAAAGUAGUGGGCAGAAAGGCAUUUCAUGCAUGGUUUGAAGAGCAAAAACUUGUAGUUUACAAUGCCAACAUUGAAAAGUUGGGGAAAAACAAGGUGUACAGAGUUGCUUAUUGGUUGCAAUCUGAGGAGUAUGAUGAUGCUAUUGAUUAUGAUAUGCCAAUGCACCAGCUAGCAGCUGAUCUUCUCCAUAAAUACUUGGUCUUUUGCUAGAAAUUGUAAUUUUAUUACCUGUUUGUUACAGACUUACAGCAUAUAAAACAAUAAUAUUAAAGUUCUGAUCUUGAGAAUAUCACAUUUUUGAAUUAUCAAGGCAGUCUCGGGGUUUAUUACUAUUUCCGUCACAUUGGUCAAUUUUGUAAUUAGCUACAAUUAGGUAACUAACUAAUUAUAUGCUUUAAUUUCUGGUCAUCCAAGUAAGAUGUUUCAUAUUUGUUUCAGAAUGCUUCAAUCUAUAAUAACUGAAAAUUUCAUUCAGUUCUCAUAAUUUUUAAGGAAGUUAUGGGCUUUUGACUGUCCACGAUCACAGCUUUUGGGUUAAGUCAAUGGAAAAGCAAUAGGGAACAAGAUGCUAAUUUCCGAGUAUGAAAACAACCAUAACUUUUUUAAUACUGAAGAUAUGAAAGUGAAUUAGGUGUCAAAUUAAAAUUCUUUUUUAUGCUUUAUCUGAUGGGAUAAAUUACAGGCUUGAUUUUUAAAAUCUCAAAAUUUUGUAACA